rnacentral:lncRNA from 1 species
AUGCUCAGUUUUAUGAUCAUUUGUUUUAUUUGGCUAAUACACUCUGAUGUGAUCUACAGCAUAGAAAACACCACAGUUUCAGGUCCACGAAGCUUCGGAUACGUGGACAGUUCAGUGACCCAGUUCUCGGUUCCAGAGGAUCACCACGUCUGUCUGCCAUGUCAGGGUCCAGAUGUGAUCUGGACACACCAGAACACGAAGGUCCUGGUGACCCGACGAGGCAGCAGCCAGACAAACCAGGACCGGCAACGUUACCUCCUGUUAAUGGAUGGAGGCCUCUGUCUACUGAAGCUGGACGACUCAGAUGGAGGAGAGUAUCAAUGUAACCAGCAGCUGGUGGCCGAGCUGCAGGUCCUCACAGGCAACGACUUUCAGGUGUCUGCAGGUUGGACUCUCCUGCUCCCCUGCAGAGGCUCCUCCAAAACCAAACAGAGGUGGUUUCGACAGAGGGGGAGAGAAAAGAAAGAGGUCAUCUUCACCCGCUUCAGGAAUGGUACGGAGAAGCCAGAGCGGGACGGAGACCGGCUGAGCUACAUGAACAAUGCUCUGCAGAUCAGAGACCUGCAGCCAGAGGACGCUGGAGAGUAUCAGUGUAACGGUGUGCUGCAGGCCAGGGUCUCUGUCCUGGAGGAAAAUUCAUAUCCAUUCGUCUCCGCGUCGUCCCGAACAACAGCAUCAUCUGGAACGAGGACCGAUGCAGCUGAAGUCAAAAAUAAGACAAAGAAGAAACAUGAGAAUGUUCUGAUGCUGGUCGCAGUCUCCGGGUUCGUGUUAAUGACCAUCUCACUGCUCACCGUCUGUGCUUUACUCAUCAGCACCAAGCGCAGAAGAAGAAACAGGAAGUACAAAUAUGCAGAAAAGGGACACGUGGACACAGAGCUGCAGCUGUGGAUAACAUCAAGCUCACAAACCGAGUAUGAGAAGUUUGAGAGGCCGUCCCAGCUGGAGGAGACGAUCCACUACGCCUCUCUGGGCCGACAGAACUGGAAGCAGAGGCCCAACUCUCCUCCGCCGGAUCAGAACCACAAUCAAGUUAUUUAUUCCUCUAUCGUCACCAGACCUGCAGCGAGAAACACCUUCUGCUGA